rnacentral:rRNA from 1 species
UACGUAGGGUGCAAGCGUUAAUCGGAAUUACUGGGCGUAAAGCGUGCGCAGGCGGCUUUGCAAGACAGAUGUGAAAUCCCCGGGCUUAACCUGGGAACUGCAUUUGUGACUGCAUGGCUCGAGUGCGGCAGAGGGGGAUGGAAUUCCGCGUGUAGCAGUGAAAUGCGUAGAUAUGUGGAGGAACACCGAUGGCGAAGGCAGCCCCCUGGGUUAACACUGACGGCUCAUGCACGAAAGCGUGGGGAGCAACAGG